GGGUGUGGCUCAAUGGUAGAGUAGCGGUCUCCAAAACCGUAGGUUGUGGGUUCGAGUCCUACCACCC
rnacentral:tRNA from 2 species